rnacentral:misc_RNA from 1 species
GAUGAAGAACGCAGCGAAAUGCGAUAAGUAGUGUGAAUUGCAGAAUUCAGUGAAUCAUCGAAUCUUUGAGCGCACAUUGCGCCCUUUGGUAUUCCAAAGGGCAUGCCUGUUCGAGCGUCAUUUGUACCCUCAAGCUUUGCUUGGUGUUGGGCGUCUUGUCUCUAGCUUUGCUGGAGACUCGCCUUAAAGUAAUUGGCAGCCGGCCUACUGGUUUCGGAGCGCAGCACAAGUCGCACUCUCUAUCAGCAAAGGUCUAGCAUCCAUUAAGCCUUUUUUUCAACUUUUGACCUCGGAUCAGGUAGGGAUACCCGCUGAACUUAAGCAUAUCAAUAAGCGGAGGA